GAACUUAAGCAUAUCAAUAAGGCGAGGAACAGAAACCAACUGGGAUUCCCCUAGUAGUGGCGAAUGAAGCGGGAAAAGCUCAAGUUUGAAAUCCGGCGGGUGACUUCCGGAGUUGUAAGCUGAUGAGGUAUCGACCGACGUGGUCCGGGCCCAAUUUCCUUGGAACAGGAGGUCAUGGAGGGUGAGAACCCCGUCCGUGGCUCGGGUGCCAUCGUCCUUGUGUCGUGUCCUCUAAGAGUCGGGUUGUUUGGGAAUGCAGCUCAAAAUGGGUGGUAAAUUUCAUCUAAAGCUAAAUACUGGCGAGAGACCGAUAGCAAACAAGUAGAGUGAUCGAAAGAUGAAAAGUACUUCGAAAAGAGAGUGAAACAGUACGUGAAAUUGUUGAAAGGGAAGCGUUUGGCAUCAGCCCUUGGCGUCCGUCGAACAUCCAGGCUUCUGCCUGGUGCACUCGUCGGUCGUCGGGCCAGCGUCGGCUCUGCCUGUCGGAGAAAGGUCCGAGGGAUGUGGCUCACCUUCGAGCGUUAUAACCUCGGGCGUCAUGCGAUAUGGUGGGGCCGAGGUCUGCGGACUCUGUCCUAGGACGCUGGCGUAAUGGUUCCAAGCGACCCGUCUUGAAACACGGACCAAGGAGUCUAACAUCUAUGCGAGUGUUUGGGUGUCAAGCCCGUCCGCGCAAUGAAAGUGAAUGCAGGCGGGAGCCGUAAAAGGUGCACCGCCGACCGGUCCGGGGGUUUACCGAAGGAUCCGAGUAAGAGCAUAGCUGUUGGGACCCGAAA
rnacentral:rRNA from 1 species